AUAACAUAGAGGUAGAAAUAAAAACUCUGGAUGCAUAGGGGGUAUAUUGUGGGCUCAUUUAAAAUUAAUCAGUAUGUUUUAUUCACCGGAAUAAGUUUUUACAUGCAUAUCCAACCUGUUUGAGUUUAAUUUUCACUGACUCAACACACCCUCAUGUGACCACUUCUACCGGUUUUUCCUGAAGAUGUGCCGCAGGCUCAUCGGCCCAAAAGGGUAAAUGACGAGAAUUAAAGCAAAACCCAUGGUGCUACACAUUCACACCUGCGCACCGACACACCUUAAAGCUUCGACUUUACAGGCAACUUAAAAGACAGAGAGAAAUGGUGAGGAAAAAGAGAUUAGACUGAGAUGAGAAGUUUACAGCUGUAUUUGGUAUCUGAAGUAGUCAAAAUUGAGGGCUGGGUGUGUAAAUAUGUUUCAACAUGAAGUUUGCAUCUGGACUUCUGCCGUUGUCAUCCUACCUUUCUCUCAGUGCGGGAUGAAAACCUGGGUCUCCGAAGCUGCUGACGCAACAUGCUAUCGGUCACACCACAGGAGUUGGCAUACACACUUGAACUGUUGCAACAAUGUCUGAUGGCAGAUGCCGUUUGUCAGUAAUUUGGCACAAUGGGGUCGAUGUCAAGGUACUAGAACAUUCAUGGUUUGGUUUGAGUGACCCGCUUAAACCUGCCCCAACAACAUUACUCAAUCUCGAAAAGCCACUAAAAAUCAAGAUAUACUGCAUGUAAUUGGACUCAAAAAAGGCUGAGAACCACUGGAUUAGAUGAAAAAUAUCAAGUCACACUAAAGGACAAUGCUGUCACAUAUUAUUUGCUGUUAAAACUAGUAACUGCUAUUAAAAUGCUCAUGUUUGAACAAAAGUUUCAGAUGUUCUACGAUUUGAUUUCAAGUGUUUGCCUGCAGUUUUUUGGCCUGCAGCGCACAUUGCUGGGAGCCGUGGCUGAGAUGAAUGCAAGGAUUUCAGUCAUUGUUUCUGGUAGUGGGCGCUGCAGAUAUUCAGCUAUAUCUUGCCCUGCAUAUCUGGGAGCACUGGAGUUAUGUGGUCUGUAUAAGGCUACAUAAAUGGAUAAAACAAGCAACACCUUUGGCAGCCCCUGGAUGGUAGCAGACAGCACAGAAAGUGUCAAUAAAAGGCAUAACUAUAGGAGAGCCUCCCUGACAGUCACCUGUGAGGAUCUGCAGUGUUUCAACAUGCAACUAACCCAGAAAAUCUGUGGCAUGUGCGUCAACCUGCCCAGGACAGGUUGUUGUUUGGCAUCUAUACUUCCUCAUUCAUUAGUAAAUGAGUUUUUUGUGUAAAGGAUAGCCACACCAGACUUCAAUUUCAUGACAUCUUUAAUUGCUUUUGUCUGUCUGGUUGUUUUAUUAAAGAGUAAAACUGAUUAGUUUUUAACUGUACAAUCACUAAAUAGACAUAUGCAAGAGCUUCUAUAAGGAUACGACCAAGGGAUGCUUUUUAUUUGAAUGAAAUUUGUCAGAUUACAAAUACUGUCUACUGAAACAAACGCACCCAUUAAAAGUCAUUUAUUUGGCCAGUGGAAGCUAUGAGAGAAUGUGCAAGAUACAAACACUUGUAGCUGGUCACAAAACGUUCCCAACAGCAGCUGAUUGUAAAAUAAAUUGGCACGGAUGUCACAUCUUUAUGUAGAGUGGGAAAAGUUUCAUUCGCUCAGUCACACACACAUACACAUACAUAUACAAUGGCAUAUCAGGUGCUAAAAGAUAAUACAGUUGUUUGUUACAGCCUCAGACAAAAUUUAAAAAAAAAAAACAUUAAAAAAAAUUCCCCUCCAGAUGAUAACAUUAAACA